CUUCCUCAGUCCGUGGGCGGGGCUUCGGGUCUCCUCGGGAUCUACCUGUGGACCGCAUGGAAGGUGCGUGAGAGGGCUGUGCUUCCGUAGCUGUGGCGGCUGCAGCAAAGACUCUUGGGAUUGCAACACCAAGAAAACCUGUCUUAUCUGUCAGUGCAAGAAAACUUAAGGACAAUGCAGCUGACUGGCAUAACUUAAUCCUUAAAUGGGACAGCCUGAGUGACAAGGGUUUCACCACGGCGAGCAGUAUUGCCAACCUGAAAGUCAGCUUGCUGAGUAAAGAGAAGGUUGAACUGGAGAGUGGCCCAGCGUCCAGGGAAGAGGAAGACAAGACAAACCGGGACUACGAUGAGGGACUUGAAGCACUAUGUGAGGAGCUGCAGACCAUCUUGGAUGGCUUGACUAAAAUACAAACGAAAAUGGAAAAGCUGUCUUCAACCACCAAGGGAAUUUGUGAACUAGAAAAUUACCACUCCAGAGAAGCAAGCAGCCAGCCCCCUCUGUUUCACACGUGGCCCACAGCCUUCUUCUAUGAGGUCUCCCACCGGCUCUCCGAAGCAUACAAGAAGGAGCUCCUUUUGAAGCGCACCAUUGGUGCAGAGCUGGCCCAUACUGCAGACCGCAACCUCAGCCUGACCUACCUGUCCAUGUGGCUGCACCAGCCCUACAUAGAGAAUGACAGCAAACUACAGCUGGAGAGCAUGCUGCUCGAAACAGGGCACCGGGCCCUGUGACUCCCUGGCCACCUUGCCUGUGACCACGGUUUGGAGCUCCAGACCACUAGCUGGACAGUCACUUGGGUGGAACCUGUUGUGCCUCAAGGCCAGAUCCUUUUAGGGUCCUGAGAUCAGUCUCCCGAUGCUGCAGCCUCUCCAGACACAGGCACUGCUACUCCUGAGACUCUGUCCCGGGUAUCUUGAUGCUCCACUGAGUAACACAAACAAGAAUGGCUGAGGGGCCGAGUUUUGUAAACCAGUGGACUUUAUGGUUUCGUCUGUGGUGACAACCUGAGUUUCCUAUUUCUACCUUGUUCCUAUCUCCUUUUUUGCUGUUGUUUUGUGCUGGAAAUCAAAUCCAGACUUCACAUGAACAAGCUGCAUAUUCAACCACUGGUCCACACUCCAACCCUGUGCUUAAAAUUAGAAGAGAAUGUUUUAGUUCUGAAACUAUCCCAGAAAUAUUAGACAUUUAAAGUUUCACAAGUGGGGACUGAGAAAUGGCUUAGCAGUUGAGAGCACAGGUGGACCUCUGGCCUCCCCUGGCAGUCACACAGAUUUGCACGUGUGCACACGCACAUACACACACACUCUUGGUAAAUUUUAUUUGUACUUUGGUAUCUGUGUACAGGCCACAUGUACAGAUGACCAGGGCAACUAUGCAUGGGAGUGGGACCCUUGGAGCUAGAGUUACAGGACGUUGUCAGCUGCCUGAUCCCAGUGUCAGAAACCAAACUGCAGUCAGUCUCAGGAAGAACGAUUCACGCUUUUAACUGCUGAGCCAUCUCUCCUGGGGCUGGAGAUACAUAUAUUUAAUACAUUGUAUAAAAUAUAUUAAUAAAACAUAUUGAAAUAUAUCUUUUUUAAUCCUGUAGAGUUAACUGAGUAUAGAGUUUAGUGUCACAGAAAUGAAAACCACUUACCAAAAAUUGCUGCUGUUUGCAUGAAAAGACGGACAAACCAAUAAUAAGACCAAUAAUUGAAUACUGUUUAUAUCUGGGGCCUGGAUUGCUGUAUCUGUUUAGCUUUCUCACUGUUAGCCAAGAACUAGCAUCACUGAGAACUGCCUGAGUCACCGGCCCUCAGGACGACCACUGCACUUCCUUUCACUCUUCCUGAUGAGGGGCACACUAAGACCACUGUUCUCAUCGGGGUGGGCACCCUUGGACUACUGCUCCCAACUGUUUGGGAAGGAAUACUCAGACCACAUUGCUCUCUUCUCUGUGUCUGUAUGUGUAUGUAUGGGCACACCUGAGCUACACUGCAUGUGUGCAGGUCAGAGGACAGCUUUGGUUGUAGGUCUUUGCCUUCUGCCUUGACACCAGGCCUCUUGUUCACUGCUGUAAACACCAGGAUGCCUGGCCUACAAGCUUCUGGAUACUCUGUCUCCUUGUAGAUACCACAGGAGUUACAUACACUUGUGCUGGUACUACGCUGGCUUUUCUUGUUUCUAGGGAUCUGCACUCAGAUCAUCAGGUUUGCAUAGUGAAUGCUAUGCCCUCUGCUGCUCCCUUUUCCCAGAGGACAAAAAAGGCCCAGCAUUAAACAUGCAGCUUGUCAAGGUUUAUGCUAGUAACUGGCAACUCCCAAGCUGUAUUUACACAUACACACACACAACCUCAUUUUUUGUUGUUUUUUUAACCCAAGCAGUUGCCUACAAAGUGCUUGGCUCAGAACACAGCUCAAACAUAAGCCAGACAUGUUGUCAGAUUUUUCAGGCCAGUAGAAGUUGUAUCUAACGUCACAUUUGGAACCUGGCUUCUUGCACAAAUACCUGAGAUAGUUUACUAUAGAUUACUUAGCAAGGCAUUGGUGUCAUGCACUGUAGAUCUCAGCACUCAGAGGCAGAGGCAAGCAGAUCU